rnacentral:lncRNA from 1 species
GACGAUGAUGCCGUGGGCGUCCGGAAAGCGGGAGCAGACGUCGAGUGACCCCUUGUAGGCCUCGUCCUCGCGGUCCAGCAUUGGGAGCGGCAUGUGGUCAGCGGGCAAUGGCGGGAUCCCGGGGACCAGCAGCGGGGCGCUGCCGAGCUCCCUGAAGCUCUUGACUGUGGUGGAGUGCAACGUCUGGAUGUAGAAGAAAGUGGCGAGGACGCUAGCGCCGGAGGUAAAGAAGGUGUAGCAGGGGAUGCAGAGCUCAGCUGCGACGUCGAGGGCCAAGCUGCAGAACAUGUCGACGACGAUGGCUCUGGGGGCGGCGUCGCGGAGGAGGUUGAGGAGAUUUGCGUUGGAGAGGCGGAGGAGGUCGAAGGCGAGGGCCUCUUGGUGGGGGGAGGGGUUGGGGGGGAGGGCGACGGGGGGGAGGCGGUGGAAGGUGAUGGAGGGAUUGGCGGCGGAGGCGCGGGCAACGAAGGCCGCGGUGGAGCCGGUGUUGUAAGGUGGGUCGACGGUGACGACGGCGACGGCCAUUCCGUGGAGGACGAAGAGCUUUCCGAGCUCCAUCAUGGACACCAGGUGGCCCAUCCCCGGCGACGGGUACAGCACCACUCCUCCCCGCUUCCUCUCUUCCGCAGGAAACAUGUCCUCUCUCUCUCUCUCUCUCUCUCUCUGGUCCGAAGCGACAUCUUCGAAUUAUAUAAGGCCACUUUUAUAGCACAGGGUGGCGACACCGACCGCAGUGGUAAAUACUGCGUUGGAGUGCAGAGGUAAAUACUGCUACUUGAUUUGAAGUCGAUCACACCCACAUCAUUCAAUCACCUAUCAGUCAACACGUGGCCACGUCAGCGAAGAUGUCAUCGAGUUCGUCUGAUGACAACGAAAAUUGGAAGAAACAUUGACCGAAGAUAUAUAUUAAUUGGUUGAUCGAAGAAUGAUUUGGAUCUCGAAGUUUCUAGAUGUUGGGUGGAUAUAUAUUGUGGUGGGGGCGAAGAUAAAUAUUACUUGGUUGAUGGAAGAAUGAUUUAGAUCUCAAAGUUUCUAGAUGUUGCGUAGGUAGAUUUGUCUCUUUAACUUGGAAGCGAGAUACAAGGUUAGUCAACACGUGAUUGCCAUAUAAGAUCUAAAUCAUCCUUGAUAAAAAUCUAAGGAAACAUAAAAAAUAUAAUCAUAAAUUUUGUUAUUAUUUUUAACGAUAAAGACAAUCUAAAACUUAUUUUUUUUAUGACAAGGAAGAUAAUUAUAAACUUUAUUCUUAUCUUUAAGGUAUAAAAUAUAUUUUUUAAAUAAUAAAAAAAAGGCUCUCGCUCUUUCCUUUUUGAAACUAUUCUAACCCAUAUCUAGGAAUCUCGAAUUACUAACUUAUACAUUGGAGAGAUCAAGUUGAAAAAUAUCUUUCGAUCUAGUCUUCGUGUAUGUGAUAUCUCGAAAAUAUAAUAUUUUUUUAUCUCGAGAGCAUAUAAUUUCCACAUUGGAGGGAGCACAAUAUUUUUACCUCAGAAAUAUCUCGAACAUUCCGGUAUAUAUGAGUCUGAACCACAUCGGGUUCAUAAAGAUAUUAACAAUAUUUUCUACUAACACUCGUUAAAGUCUUUUAAGAUUAUGCCCUAUCCCUUUUUAAUAUAAGAUAUAUGGAUUGAUCAAUCAAAUUAUAAAAACUCAACUAUAUCAAUCAAACUAUUUAAAAUUAACAUAAUGAUGUGGACCAAUUCAAUAAUUUAAAUAUAAAAAAUAAGUUUAUUAAAAUUAUAUAUUAAACUCAAUAUAUGCCAUUUGAUUCUUUCGAUCAUUAACAAUAUGAAACUAUUCUUUUGAUCCUCCUUCCACUUUCAUAUCUUACAUAAAAAUUCUCCUAACAAUGAUGAAGAUAAAACCAGUCACUAAACGGAAAUCCCUAAAUUGACAGCAACACGAUAGCUAAACAUAGCUAAGUCGAAUCAUAUACAAAUGCGAGAUGAUGAUGACGAGCCCUUUUACCUUCCAACAAAUAUUACUUUCAAUCUUAUGACACAUGAUAUCAUGUGCUUUAGAUCAAUUCUUUGCACCUUAGAUCUUUAUUAACAAAACAAUUUUUUUAUACUUUAGAUUGUUUGUUGUCUCCCACUCCAUAUAAAAAGACAUAUUGCAAAACGCAAGUUAGUAUAGAUUAAGGGAAUCCAUUUGCAUGUUCCUCUGAUUCAUUUGGAAGCUAAAGCAUAUGCGCGAUUGGUUUGUGUAUAUCCUAUUUGUUUUCAAUCGCAUAAUCAUCUUAUUUUCCAACAUUCUUCCCAUAAACUCUCAUUUUUCCUUCAAAACCUUGUGCAUCUUAACGAAAUGACAAUUGACUUCACCUAAUCAUGAAUCGGCCAUCCAACUCCGUUCACUUUAUCCUUUGUUUUCGUCUAAUUUGAAAAAUAAUAUUAAUUUUUUUCUUUGUAAAAAUAAAUCUAUUCGUCUGAUUUAUUUCUUUCUAAAAAAUAAAUAUUAAUUAUUUCCUAAAAAUAUUAAUUAUCCAUCAUCCUUCCAAAUUUAUUUUGCUUUCUAAAAAUAAAUAUUAUAUUAAGUUCAUUCUACUCCGUUCAUAAACAUUAGAUAUUUUAUUUCGAAAUUCUAUUUAUUUAUCGAGAAAUACAUAUAAAUUAUAUUUUUCUUAAUAAUUAAUAAUAAAUAUUAAGUAUUUGAAAAUUGUUUUCUAAAUCCAUGACACUAAUAACAUUAUUAAUCAUUCGAUUUUACAACGGCAAUAAAACGUUGUUCAAGAGAUUAUCAUUGUGUUCGUUCAUUCAUCAUUAAUUAUAUUUGUAAUAUAAAUUUUAUCAAAAUUAUGAAUAUAUUUAAUUAAUAGAUAUAUUGUAAGGAUACCAUACGAUUUAGAUAAAAGAAUAUAUUUAUUGACAAUAUUCGAAUGAGUUAAUAUGAAGCUUCCACCCCGUCGCGUCCGGCACCGACCCCUUUUGCAUGGGAUCUCUCGACGUGCCCAUCGUGGUUGGUGUCCUCCUCAGGCGGCGCACCCCGCGAUCCGGAUUUGCCCGCACGCAAACUCUCUCUCUCUCUCUCCUUCCUUCUAUAUAUAUGUAGACGAGCCAAAGAAGGCUCACCUCGCCUCGUCGUCAUAGGCUUCUCCUUCGGUGUGUGUCGAAAUCCUUGCGAGGAGCGAUGUCGAAUUUGAUAGACAAGGCGAAGGAGUUCGUGGCCGAGAAGAUAGCGAAGAUGCCGAAGCCGGAGGCCUCCCUCGAGAGCGUGUCCAUAAAGAGCUUCACCCGCGACUCCAUCCUGUUCCACAGCGAAGUCGCCGUCCUCAACCCGUACUCCCACUCCAUCCCCAUCUGCCAGCUCUCCUACGCCCUCAAGAGCGCCGGCAGGUUGCCGUCUCUUCCUUCCUUUCUUAAUCUAUCUUCCGCCAACCUUUGGCUUUUCUUCUUCACGAUGAUGGUGGAUCUUUGUAGGGAGGUGGCGUCGGGGACGAUGCCGGACCCGGGGUCGCUGACGGCGAGCGCGGAGACGAAGCUGGAGGUCUCGCUGAAGGUCCCCUACGACUUCUUGAUAAGCUUGAUGAGAGACAUCGGCCGCGACUGGGACAUCGACUAUGAGAUGCAGGUGGGGUUGACCAUCGACCUCCCUAUCAUCGGCGACUUCACCAUCCCGCUCUCCACCAAGGGCGAGAUCAAGCUGCCCACCCUCUCUGAUCUCUUCUGCGGCGGCGGCGGCGGAGAUGAUUAAGCAAGCUUCCAUCUUUUGUGUGUUCCAUUUGGUCAAUGAGAUUAAGAAAAUGGAAGUCAACGCUAAAAAUGUGUUGUUUUUAGGUCACUUGUAUCCGAUAUGAAUCGGAUGGUGAAAGACUAUAUUUAUAAUUCAUGUUAUUUCAGCGUAUUUUGAAUGAAUAUUAAAUUCGAAUCUGAUUUGGAUGAAAUAUUUUGAUAUUUUAUCAAUCAAUUAACUUGAUUUCAUCAAUCAACCGAUUUGUGCUCUGCGUGACUUGAAAAAAAUCGAAUUUUUCAUUAUAUAAGAAAAAUAAAAUAUAAAUAAUCAUUCUCUUUUGAACUAAUCCAAAAUAAAGUCUCAAAAAUCAUUAUAUAUUUUUUCAGAUAAAUCAUGAAGGUUUUUUCUCUCAAUCUUCUUUAGAUCUACUGCAGAAAACUCCAAGAAUACAUUAAUUAUUUGUUUUACUUUUUUACUCUCAUCACAAUAUUGAGAAUGUAUUAAUUAGAGCAAAUCCUAAUUCAUCAAUAACCAUUCACCCAACUUAGAUUCUUAAUCCAAAUCUUAAUCUUAAUUCACCCAGAUUCAUUACAACUUAUCCAAGUAAUUUAAAUCUAAUUAUUUAUAAAUGUUGAUCAUUUAUGCUUAAUGAUGCUGGGCUCAUCUUUCUUGCACCGACUCAUUUCUUUGGGAGAUAGAAACUGUCUCAAUAUGGAGUUUAUAUACAUGAUAAAAGAUGUAUGUAAAUCACCUGCAAGAUUCUAAUUACGGAGAUUAGGAUAUUCAAGUCGAGCAACCAAUUAAAAAAUUAAUACGAUUGAGUGAAGAUAUAGAAGCAAUUUGUCUUUGCUCCUUACUAUAGAAUCAUCCGAUUUAACCUCAUAUACUCUCAGAACCAUCAUAGUUGAUAUGGACGAUUUUGCUCCAUGUAAGCUCAUAUGCUCAUCGAGGUCGUUAUCUAAGCAGGACUCCACAUUCUCACAUUACCUUAUCAACAUCAGAAAAUGAUCAUGUAGUUCACCUAAUAUUAUCUCAAACUAAUUAGUAAGAAGGUUCUGGGAUCAAGUAUAAAAAGAAUCCAUCGGCACACGCUAAUAAUAUUAGUUUACACUACACAUUAACCUAAUCGCGUUAGUGUGUACUAUGGGGGGGGGAACUCUCGACAUACUAACCUAACCGCAUAGUUUACAUUACUGUCUUCUCCUUUUUAUUGACUUAAACAUCAAAGGGGCACGUCGGGUAACUACUAGGGUCAUCCUGUCAUGCAAGAUCAUCGGCUAUCAAGAGGCGACCUUGUUGUUAGGACGUAACCAUAUAACAUGAGACAAACCAUCUCUCGGGGACAUUCGAACGAUCUGAUCUCGAAAGAAAACUUUACAUCCAGAAAUAUCAUAAACUGUCUACCCAAUCAUCACGAACCAGGUCCUCGUCGAUAAGACCGUUUCGGAUCGAAUUGUCUAUUCGAUCCUACCUUUGCAAAUCUCUCACGUCAAUCAGAUAUCGCGGCGACUCAAUCAGUCGACCAAAAGAGGACAAUUCGUUUUGAGCUAUACAUAAAGAGAGAAAAAGUAAAGAAAAGCAGUAGUCAUGGUGCUUGUUUGGGACUGUAGAAGAGAAUGACAGAGAAAAAGAGAAAAGGAUGCUUGUUUGGGACUGUGGAAGCCCAUUGUAUUGUAUGACUCCUUUGAGCUGAGCUCCCUUUGCCACAUCCUUGACAGGCAUGUCAUGGUGCUACCCUUCUCCAGCAGCUCCCAAAUCUCUCAGACGAGCCUAAGGAGUUCAGCUCAAAGGGUGGAUGGAGAAGAAGGCCAAGAAGAAGAUCGAGAUGGUGAUGAAGACCAUGUACAGUGCCAUUGCUUUAUGGAGAAACUUGUGAGUGUCAUCUCUCUUCCAUGUUUUGUCACUCUUUCUUUCAUUUGGUUUGCAUGUUGGAUAAGAGUUGCAUGACAUUAAAUUAUUUCCCUUUUGGCUGUUUAGAGCCACAUUUGUUGAAGAUUCGACAUAAAGAUGUCGAUUUAUACAUACGCUACAAAGUGGAUAAUAUGCUUUAAAUGACAUCCAAAAAACAUGGAUUCUCUUUCCGAUUGUUUGCUCUCAUGAUGGAAUCAGUCAAAACUUACGAAGAACAGAAAACCUUUCCUAUGCCAUUGCAGCUCAAAAUGUACCCUUUCCAGGCAUUAUGAUACAUCUUUUCUGCUCCAUUGAAACUUAAGACAGCACAAUAUAUGACUCACUUCUUAGAAAUAUAUUAGGUUGGGUCUGAAUGAUUCACGAUUGGGCGUGUCAAGUUUCUAAUUAUAAUAGCUUAGGUGGUUGGAUUAAGAUUUACUAUAAUUAUAAUGGUUCUUGGAACGGUACCAAUACGCUUUUCUAGGGAUCAGAAGCGCGAAGGCUGAGGAGAUGCGAUCAGAACCGUCAGAUCGAACGGUGGACGGUGUUUCGUUUCUGAUGUCGCCGUUUCUUCUUUGGCAUAGCAUGAACGAUGGGUAAUCGGCUGUUGCCUCCACGGCAGCAGACACCCAGUACGGGUGUAAUGUGCCGAGCGCGGCACUGGGUCUAACUUUUGGUCAAGAAUCAUGGUCCAUUGAUUGUGUAUGGAAUAAUUGCACGCUGUCUGAAUACCGACAGGUUCCGCAACUUCAUACGAAGGACCACAACUUCAGAACCGGUACACAGAUCAAAUGGACAACAGUAAACACGGAACAACGACAACAGCCACCCAAAAUCCAAUAACUAUUACCACAUUAUUAUUCGCUGCCGGUAGGACUGAACCCAUUGUCACCGUCAAAGACAACGACAAGUAUUUGACGACGACCGAGGUCCGCCUUUACUCAACUGCCACACGCCUCGUCUUUCAACUGGCCCACCAACUUCGCCAGCGCCGAAUGCGACGAGCCGCCUUCUCUGAGCGCCUCCGCCGCUCUCUCCUUCAUUGCCNNNNNNNNNNNNNNNNNNNNGAUGAUGCCGUGGGCGUCCGGAAAGCGGGAGCAGACGUGGAGGAACCCCUUGUAGGCCUCGUCCUCGCGGUCCAGCAUUGGGAGCGGCAUGUGGUCAGCGGGCAAUGGCGGGAUCCCGGGGACCAGCAGCGGGGCGCUGCCGAGCUCCCUGAAGCUCUUGACUGUGGUGGAGUGCAACGUCGGGAUGUAGAAGAAAGUGGCGAGGACGCUAGCGCCGGAGGUAAAGAAGGCGUAGCAGGGGAUGCAGAGCUCAGCGGCAACGUCGAGGGCGAAGCUGCAGAACAAGUCGACGACGAUGGCUCUGGGGGCGGUUUCGCGGAGGAAGUUGAGGAGAUUUGCGUUGGAGAGGCGGAGGAGGUCGAAGGCGAGGGCCUCGUGGUUGGGGGAGGGGUUGGGGGGGAGGGCGACGGGGGGAAGGCGGUGGAAGGUAAUGGAGGGGUUGGCGGCGGAGGCUCGGGAAAUGAAGGCCGCGGUGGAGCCGGUGUUGUAAGGUGGGUCGACGGUGACGACGGCGACGGCCAUUCCGUGGAGAACGAAGAGCUUUCCGAGCUCCAUCAUGGACACCAGGUGGCCCAUCCCCGGUGACGGGUACAGCACCACUCCUCCCCGCUUCCUCUCUUCCGCAGCAAACAUAUCCUCUCUCUCUCUCUCACACUCUCUCUCUCUCUAUCUUUACCAAAGCGACAUCGUCGAAUUAUAUGAGGCCACAUUUCUAUCGACC